CUUCCCUCUUAGAACUGCUUCUGCUGUAUCCCGCGAGUUUUGGUGCGUUGUAUUUCCAUUGUUCAAGUGAAUGUGUCUCCCACCACGUCCCUUGGUAGACAGUGCUGCUCCCAGACCCCAGCUGAGAGGAGAUGGAACUGCGUCACUGGCUGCUUCACCAUCCACAGCCUGGACUGAGCUGGGUGGGCCUGCUACUGGAAGUACAGGUGGGCAUGGCUCUUCCCACAUCCCUGGCUUGGCAGAUGGUGCCAGUUGCAGGAUCAAGCUCUGCCCACCAUUGAGCAGCCCAGGCAUC
rnacentral:lncRNA from 1 species